UGACUUAUCCGUUAUUUCUUUCUUUCAUGUGGCCAGUUUGGCUCUUAUUAACUGAAAACUUGAAUGUACUUGGCACAGUUCCAAACUGUGGCUUUCUUGAAGCCGCUUGAAAGGGGUGGGGGGUAUUUUUUUUUUUUUUUUUUUUUUUGCAAAAGCUCUAUAGGGGUGUAAGACGGAGGAAUAAAAGACAGAAAGAAAGAUGGCAGUAAUUGUAAUAUCCUGAGAUUUUUUUCGCUCAGCCAAAAAAUGUCGUGCCAUUGAGCAAGUUUCACAGGGCUGCCGCUGACUCGCUGCAGGACACAUAAAAUCUGAUCAAGUUCAGAGACGCGCUGAGUGCUUCAAGCGGCGCUUUUUAACUCCAAGCCUUUCACAUCCUUUCCCCCCUCAAUCUGUCCCAGGAAGGAGCUCACAUUCUUUAUUUUAGAGGGAUCUGGACCCAAAAAAAAAAAAAAAAGAAAAAGAAAGAAAAAAAAAAAAAUCUUCAAAUCAGUCCUCUUCAUUCUGCUUUCGCCCUCAUCCUCCAUUCACUCCAGAACAUUUCCUCGAGAAAGAGUUAUAGAUUUGAAAAGGUCCUCUUGUUCCUCCGUCUCAUCUAUCUCUAUCCCUGCAGCUCCUGGCUAUCUUCACCCUCUAUGGCUCCUUCAUGACGGCCCCCUAAUCUCUGCCAGUGUGGCUCCAUGGGAAUAAUAAUCCUGUGUUCGAGGCAUCUGGAAGAAGCAGGGGAUCAAAAACCCAUCACCUAUGCAAAAAUGAGUGUUUCAUAUAGCUCCUUUAUAUGGCUGAGAUAUACCACAUCUGAGGCACCAUGAAUAAUGCCAAGGAGCCUAGGAGGGGGAAAAAAAAACGCCACUCCCUCUCUCCAGCUUGUUACCACGCAGCUGUACUCCGCCUGCACAGCGAGGCCCGUCAAGCCAUUAAUGAGUCCCAGCACUGAUAAUGAAGCCACAGAGGUGGUCUGAGCCAGUGUGGCACAGGAGCUGGAGCACGGGGGGAAGGUAGAUUAGGAUAAUUACCUGGCCACGGGGGAAAGAUGAGAAAGAUGUCUCUCUACCUGCAGGCCUCGAUCGACGAAGGAGAAAGUGCAAUAUAAUGAGGUGCGGACACCCUUUCUCUCAGAAAGGUAAGAAAAAUUAGCUCCUAAUGAUCAAAAUGUGAUUUUUAUUGUGACAGUGAUUGUCUGUUUUUGCAGGUGUCCUCCGCAUCCCUUCGCAUGCACGUAUGUAUUUGUUGUUUACGUGGCUGUGCUUUCGGUCUCUCGCACUGUACGUAAGUCCUAAACAUCCACACUCACGGAGACUUUGAAGAGCCUAUGAGGUCAGGUUUUAAAUUAUGGUCUGCACCCACACCAAGCGUUCUCUCCCCACUCCUGUAAAUCCAUUUUCCACACAAUGCAUUUCAAAUCAAAGCAGCGUCACCAUAACACGCCUUAGGAAACAUUAAGCCAUAGUGCAGUACUUUCAUGUAUGAUAGCAUAGCCCCUGUAUGCUUUGAUGUGCUCACUUUUUUUAAUGCUUUAUUAAUAAUAACACACUGGCUCCUUCUCGCACCAACACACCAGCUUCUGGUGCUCCUUUCUCUCCUCCUGAACUACCAUCCCUCACUCCUUCCAUGCCUCAGCUUCCUUCAUCCCUCCCCAGCCCUUGAGUCGUGUCUCGGGAUUGGCCUGUUUGUGUUUGGGAGGGGGGGAUUAGAGGGAAUGACACGGGCCUCGAGAUGAAGAGAGACACAAAGACCUAUCAGAGGGCAGAGAGUACGGAGCGCUGCAUCGCCAUUGGUUGCUGUGGAAAUCAGACACGUCUUCAUUUCUUCCAGCCAUCCUCUCCGAAGUGCCCAGCUUUCAUUUCCACGCCCGGGGAGGGAAGCAGAGAGGGAGGGGGGGGGGGGGUCAGGAUUAGAGUUUCUGUUUGUGCUUUUAAGUGUGUGUGCACGUGUGUGUUUUCUUGAAUGUUGUGCGCAGCAAACAUCUUAGAGAUACAGAGGGAUGAGCGCGCAGACACUAAUAGCACUCACCUCCUCCAAAGCUGGCCAAAAUACAAAUGCUGGAACAGUGUGGUGUUGUUCUAGCUGAAUGGGACGCCUGAUUCAUAGACAUGUAAAACCUGCUUACAAAUGUCUCACUGAUUUCUCUCUGCACCCCAAAGCACACAAUGGCUCCUCAGUAUCUGCUGAUGUUUUCCUUUCUGACAAUUUCAAAGCGAUGUCGGCAAUUUACUGGAUCACUUAUAGCUGCCUCCCCACAUUCACACACGCGUGUGCAGAUGUGCACAAACAUCUGCUGCAUUAAUUUCCUGCUUUUGUGUUUUCUUUGUGUCUGUGUUCCUUUUUGAUGUUUUCCUUCCUCCUUCUGUUAUGGAGCAUCACUGAGUCUUGAUUUUUGUUGUUGUAUUAUAAUGUCAGCCCACAACUUCUGCAGCAGUUUCUCCAGUCAUUUCAAUGCAAUCUGCGGUUGUAAUAAAUAAAUAUAUUAAUAUACUGAAGCAGCUAAUUUCCGUUUCUUUCAAAAUGUACUCCAUGCAGCUACGUUAACCUGCAUGUAUUUAAUUUGUUUAGCAUGUAUGCACACCAAUUAGUCAGUGUUUUUAUCUGACAGCAUUCUGCAGUGGAAAUCCUCGCUAAAGUUCUCAUGUGAUGCCUGUUGAGCUUGUUGUGCACCAGACUGUUGUCAGUAUUUGCCUGCUUGUCAGGAUGCAGCCAGUUGACUCUGGCUGUCUGAGCAGUGAUAUGACUGGGAGCAGUGGGGCUGGGCCCCAGCCGACUCCGCUCUCCUCCUCCUCCUCGCCCCAUAAUAGAUCUGCGUGGUCUGCAGGCCCUCUGGGGGCACCUGGCUCCCCUCCCUGCCAUCUCUGGCCUGGAUCGAUCAGCGAGGCCGCCCCGGCGCAGAGACCAGGGGUCAUCUUCAAAGGCCUCCUGCCCACUUCCUGCCACCUGGUGCUCCAUAUUCGGACAAAGGGUGCGUUUCCUUUCCGUUCCCUCCACCCUCCGAUGCCCUUCUGCGAACAGGUUAAGGACAUGGAGUCGGUACAGCUCCUCCCUGUGAUCUCCUUCAGCCUGCUCCCCGGUCGCCCACACGGGGAGAGAGGGUGAGAGAUCAGUCCCAUCCAAACAACACAAUCACACACCCAUUUCAUGUGGAAAUCUGCUUUUGAUUUAAUUACGGCCAAAGAAUUCACAUCUCUUAUUACGGAGGUGAUUUUGGUUACCUUUACCUUUGGUUCUUAUUUUCAUUACACUUAAAUGUAUAAUCAAGAUUUCUAUAGUGCAUCCAUAAAAUGUUUAAAUUCAGUGACAAAAAAAACACAUCAACUCAGAGAAUUAUUAUUCAUAUAUAGGAUGUAUUUUAAUGACAUUCAUAUCAUGAUACAGUACAAUGAAAAAAAAAGUUAAAGAAGGUAAUGGUUUAUAAUGAUGCAUUAACUUUCUGGCUCUCACUUGAAACAUGUUUCAUUAUUAACUGAUCAACAGAUCUGCUACGGUACGAAUAUCUCCAUCUCUCUCUCUCCCUGUUGGUCAAGUCACAAAUGGCAGGGCUAUCGAACACACAUUUUAUCUCCAUGAGGGCUGUCGGACAAUUAGCUCCAAGAAUACAUAUUAAUCAAUCGAGCUUUUUUUGAAUCUGUUUAUUAAGCCCAGCCAUUUUUUUCCCCCUCCAAUACAUUAGCAGAUCUCAGUAUGUCCGCUCCUCUUGUGAACAGGGAUGAGAAGGAGAUGGAGGGAGAGGAAAUAAAGGUCUGAUGAGUUUGGCAAAGAGAGGAUGGAGGCUGAGACAGAUGGCAUGAAGUCUGCAGCACUCUGGCGUGGCUCGCCUGGUGCUAAAAUCCUCCUCUCUCACAUUCCAACAAAUCCUACCAGGAGGCUGGGGAGUCUGUCACACCACUCCAAGGAUCCACACGGCUCUCUUCAACCCCCCCUCCUCUCCUCUAUCCUCCCCCUCCUCUGCCGCCCCGGCCCAACCGAGCCUCUGACCACUCUGCAUCAUAUUUUAUCCUCACAUAUGUAUACAUUCACACAUUAACAUGUAUAGAGGUCGGCCAUUACAGGCCUGCUAUACGAUAAGAAGCACCAGGGGGGCGCAGAUAUGACGAAACGCCGUCUGACUGCUCUUAUGGAAAAGGGGCUUAAUUGAGAGAGGUGGCCUUUACUGUCACUCCAGUGUAAGAAAUCUUAUUCAGUAAACACUGGGCCAAAUCAUGUGGGACUGUACAAUCCAUUUAUAUCAGAGGAAGAAGACAUAAGAAGCUUUUUGAUUAGUUUCACCACAGCCCGCAUCAGCCCAACAGAAAGCCCAAUCUCAAUCCAAACAUGCACUGCUCAGACCCGUGUUGCAAGGCUCCCUGUGGGCCUUACAGCCCAAAACGGACAGUAAGUGUAACCGUGAUUACACAUAGCACAAGACCAACAACUGGAUCACGGGCUCCACAUGACAUCUUCAUCUCCAAACACUGUACUAUUAGAUGUCCUUUGAAUCUCUGAAGCAUGCUUUCUUGAAGCGGUUCAUCUAAUAAGAACAGUCUAAUUUAUUUUACACUAUGCUCUCUCCCCAUGUCUCUCUCUCUCUCGCUGUCUUUCUGCCCGCCUUCUGUUUGUUCUAAUGAAUGACUUCUGAGAUGAGGUGCCGCUGUGAGGAGGUCACGGCGGGGGCCUCAGAACCACAUUACUGUUAAUGAUAAUAAAAAGAACAAUCUGUGCUAAA